UUCAAGAAAAAUGCAUAAUACUUGUUAGCCCAUAGAUCCUUCCUUUUGCAAUUUCUUGUUUCAGCUUUCUUACCACCAAUAAUAGCCCAACUACAGAGCAUAUCUUCAGCCCAAUUUCCAAGCUUGUUACCAAUGUAUAAAACAAACCCAUUUUAUUCUAAACCAAAUAAGCCCAAUUCUUACUAAUCCAACAAUUAACCAGACCAUAUUAAUCGCACUUUUAUUUAGCACUCUGGCCCAUCUCCCAAACUCUAACUAUUCGACUACUAAUCAGCCACAGUCCAACAAGUAUAGCAGCAACUAUCCUGGACCAGCAUUCAUCACUAACAUUUUGAGAUAUACUUCCCUUUAUUUUUGCACUCAUUAAUCAACACCCUGAUCCAGCAUAUGUGUCACGACCCCCGACCCCAUCUAGCCGGAAUCGGAAGUCGCGAGCAGUCCAGUGUGGUACCGGUGAUUAUUUUGAAAAACAUUGCAGCGGAAAUUUCAUCAGGACCGUGAGUUAGGAAAAAUAUC
rnacentral:lncRNA from 1 species